rnacentral:lncRNA from 1 species
CUUCCAUCUGUGAUGGUUUCUGCUGCCUGCAGUUUUCUGGAAGAUGGUGCUUUCCCAUCAUUUGUUUGGUAGAACCCAGCACUGUUGAGUGCAGGCUACCAACAUUCUUUAGUUAAAGUGUACCUUUCUUUUUGUCAGUAAUUUGCAGUUAGAAUUUCAGGACAUCAAGUAAGUGCACAUAGGGGCAUUUCCUAAUUUACCAUGUAACCCUCUGAAGGGUUCAGCUUAUCACCUGAGAAAAUGAGGGGACACUCCUCCCCAUUCUUUGCUUGUAAAAGUAGGACACGUGUGUUGCUCAACUCUGGAACGCCAUGGGUACUGCUGAAGUUCAUAUUAGGCAAGGUGUGCUUGGACUUCACUGGCUUCCACGGCAUGAUGUACAAGUGCAGCUAGGAAGGAACGCAGAUCUGCCAAGGCAGUUUUCACCCAUGCCCUCUGGUUCCGGCAGUGGCAAAAUGAACAAACAUUCUCCUAGGAAACUGAGAUGGCAUGGAGGGGUGAGUGGUUUCAGCUGGCCUGACCUGUUUACAUCUUAUGUUACUCUAGAACUGUGAAGAGAUUAUUGCUGUGUACUCCAUAGACCUGGGGGGGGGGCUGCUAUGAGACAUUUUAAAAUGUUCCAGGGAGAUGAGCCAUGAUAGUGGCUCCAUGGGGCCCCUGGUCUCCUGCUGGGUGCGUGUCUGUGUGUGUGUGUGUGUGGGUGUGUGGUGUGUGUGUGUGUGUGUGUGUGUUCUCGCGUGCUCGAGCAUGUGCGCGCCCAUGCAAGCUCGUUCUUCUAGAACAACCCUUAAAUGAAAGAAGUAUAAGCUGAUUUGGUGAUUGUAGAUGAGUUUUAUCAUGGUCAAACCAUCUUUUUUCAGUAACUUUUUCGGGGAAGUUUAAAGGGACUGCUUUCAGUCGGGUCAUCUUUCUGCUGGC